CCUACGGGAGGCAGCAGUGGGGAAUCUUGCGCAAUGGCCGAGAGGCUGACGCAGCGACGCCGCGUGGGGGAUGAAGCAUUUCGGUGUGUAAACCCCUGUUGCUCGGGACGAACGACCCUUUUCGAGGGGUGUGACGGUACCGAGUGAGGAAGCACCGGCUAACUCCGUGCCAGCAGCCGCGGUAAUACGGAGGGUGCAAGCGUUGUCCGGAAUCACUGGGCGUAAAGGGCGCGUAGGUGGUUGGAUGCGCCGGUGGUGAAAGCGCAGGGCUCAACCCUGCGUCGGCCAUCGGGACGGUCCGACUGGAGCACUGUAGAGGCAGGUGGAAUUCCGGGUGUAGCGGUGGAAUGCGUAGAGAUCCGGAAGAACACCGGUGGCGAAGGCGGCCUGCUGGGCAGUUGCUGACACUGAGGCGCGACAGCGUGGGGAGCAAACAGGAUUAGAUACCCUGGUAGUCCACGCCGUAAACGAUGGGCACUAGGUGCUUGGGGGAGCGGACCCCCGUGNGUGCCGACGCUACGCAUAGUGCCGCCGUCGGGAGGUACGACCGGCCGAAGGUUAAGGUAAACGUACGAAGGAAGUUAGUUACGGCGUGAGGACGUUGCCGACGGACGACGACCGAGGGGAGGAGG
rnacentral:rRNA from 1 species